AUGAAGCUAGAGGAAUCCGCUUCUACACUUUUCCGAGGAGGACCACUGAGAGCAAUGAGUUCCACUCUCCCACGUGAGUGGAGGGACUACAGCCACCUCUGCUCCUGUGCAGAGUGAACUUCUCAGAGUUGUUACGACCUUUGACCUUGACCCUGCGGGACCUGUGCUGCUCAGGAGUAGCCCAUGGGAGCCUCGGUGAUUUGACCCUGCCGUGUGUAAAUCUGCAGGAGGUUUGUACCCAGUGUGAGCUGCAGACAUGAGCGACAUGCAGCCCGUGGAGGGUCCGAUGGGCCCUUCAGAGGGCGCCCAGCACGGCAUGACACUGGCCUUGCGGGACGGAGACCAAAAUGGGAAUGCCUUUGCGGAGUCUUCCUCCUCUUCCUCUUGCUCCCCGUCCUGCCAGAGCGAGUCGUCUCCAGACUCCGUGCGCA
ensembl:lncRNA